rnacentral:misc_RNA from 1 species
GUGAAGAACGCAGCGAAAUGCGAUAAGUAGUGUGAAUUGCAGAAUUCAGUGAAUCAUCGAAUCUUUGAACGCACAUUGCGCCUCCUGGUAUUCCGGGAGGCAUGCCUGUUCGAGCGUCAUUAAAAUCACUCAAGCUUAGGUUUACCUAUUGCUUGGUCUUGGAGAUGGAAGCCAAUUCAUUGGAAUCCUCUUCGAAAUCCAAUGGCGAAGACCCUUGCUCUCCCAAGUGUAGUAAUAACUUAUGUCACUGAAGGAAGCGAGAAAUCUUCCGCCGUAACCCCCAUAUUUUCUAUGAUUGACCUCGGAUCAGGUAGGGAUACCCGCUGAACUUAAGCAUAUCAAUAAGCGGAGGA